rnacentral:rRNA from 1 species
GACGAACGCUGGCGGCGUGCUUAACACAUGCAAGUCGAACGGAAAGGCCCUGCUUUUGUGGGGUGCUCGAGUGGCGAACGGGUGAGUAACACGUGAGUAACCUGCCCUUGACUUUGGGAUAACUUCAGGAAACUGGGGCUAAUACCGGAUAGGAGCUCCUGCUGCAUGGUGGGGGUUGGAAAGUUUCGGCGGUUGGGGAUGGACUCGCGGCUUAUCAGCUUGUUGGUGGGGUAGUGGCUUACCAAGGCUUUGACGGGUAGCCGGCCUGAGAGGGUGACCGGCCACAUUGGGACUGAGAUACGGCCCAGACUCCUACGGGAGGCAGCAGUGGGGAAUAUUGCACAAUGGGCGGGAGCCUGAUGCAGCAACGCCGCGUGCGGGAUGCCGGCCUUCGGGUUGUAAACCGCUUUCGCCUGUGACGAAGCGUGAGUGACGGUAAUGGGUAAAGAAGCACCGGCUAACUACGUG